rnacentral:pre_miRNA from 1 species
AUCACCUGGGAAUCUUGCUAAAAUGCGGAUUCUGAUGAAUAGGUUUACACCCUGAGAUUCUGCAUGUGUAACAAGCUCCCAGGUGAAGCCAG